rnacentral:lncRNA from 1 species
GGAAUGUGAGCCAGUGCUGAUAACAACACUGGUGCUGUGGCAUGCCUGGCCAUGUAGUAAUAGCAGAGAGAAGAGAAGAGAAGAGAAGAGAAGAGAAGAGAAGAGAAGAGAAGAGAAGAGAAGAGAAGAGAAAAAGACAGAGGGAGAGGGAGGGAGGGAGGGAGGAAGGAAGGGGAAAGAGAAGGGGAGAGGUACUGGAAAUUAAAGAGUGAAGGACUGAUCAGGCUGUUUGAAGAGAAACUUUGCCAUAUCUCACACUUUAUCAUCCUUAAGGGUGAAUCGGCCUGGAAGUUGUUCAUUCUCUCCCAAGCCUGAAACAGCGGAUAAACGACCCCACCUCAUGCUGGGAAGAGAGAGCUUGGGAUCCCUGGCACGUGAGAAACAGAGCCUGGCGUAGAUCAGAGCUCUCCAUCCAGAGUGUCAUGACUUAGCUGCGUGCUUUCACCAGCAGGGAGGAGGGAACUGAUACUGGAGAAAUAUACUUUCCUCCUCCAUCAUGGUGAUUCAUAACCUUCUAAAACCUUACGAUUCUGAAAACCCACACAAACACAUUGGGACCUCUCCCAGCCCUUGACUCACUGUGAGUAUGGAUUUCAGUGGCCUUGCUACCCUUAAUUUGGUGGGUUUUGUCCCUGGAGUUAAACAUUCAUGACUAUAUUCACCUUCUAGGUCGGCAUUCUCAAGAUGACCACAAUGAGCAGCAUUGAAGAGCCAGCGUUCAAAUGCUUCUCCCACAUGGGAGUCAGUAUUCUGCAGAGAUGGAUGAUUCUCAGAUCACCACUUAGCUUCCUGAAGCCAGCAACCUAUGUCAAAGCUGUUACUCCGGAAAAAAUGCCACUCUCCUCCCCACUCAGCUCCAAACACAGUGUGAUUGUAAUGAACACCUAUCCUGAUGAGGAAUGCAGGCUGCAUCUUGGAGAAAAUUCAAAUAGAGGUCCAUUUGAAAAUGGAAGAUAUGUAGUUACCAAGGAAACUCGCUGUGAGUCAACAAACUGGCUUAACUUCGAGCUUUGUGAGUUUGUUCCAUACAGAAUUAACUUGCUAUUCAUUUUUACCUACUCUCCUAAAAUGCUAGGAAUCAAAAUAAAAUUAUAAAUAUUAUUAGCCAUGCAACUAAAAGAGUAGUUUAUUUUGUUAUUUCUUGUCAUUGAUUUUGAAGAAAAUAUGUAUUCUUUUUCAGCCUUUAUGGAUGCUCUCAGCCAUACACAUGCAUAUGCCUCCAUGGUUAUGCAAUGGAAAAGGAAGAAUGUCAGGAAAAAUGCAGAGGACAGAUUAGGUAGGUGAAUCUGCCAUGAGGGGUUAAGAGACCAUGUAAGGAGGGUCAAAGGUUCAUUUCUUUGAAAACACAUCACAGAAGCAAGAUCUGAAUGGAAAUCUUACCUUAAGAAGGAGGUGGGAGGAAAAUGAGAAAAGUCUGGGGAUGAAAAGAAGCACAAGGCUGCCUUUUUUUUUUUUUUAGACGGAGUCUCACUCUGUUGCCAGGCUGGGGUGCAGUGGUAUGAUCUCGGCUCACUGCAACCUCCGCCUCCCAGGUUCAAGCGAUUCUCCUGCCUCAGCCUCCUGAGUAGCUGGGACUGCAGGCACCCACCACCACGCCUGGCUAAUUUUUGUACUUUUAGUAGAGAUGGGGUUUCACCAUGUUGUCCAGGCUGGUCUCGAAGUCCUGACCUCAGGUGAUCCGUCUGCUCGACCUCCCAAAAUGCUGGGAUUACAGGCGUGAGCCACCACGCCCAGCCUAGGGCUGCCAUUUUUAAGUAAGAUGCGUUAUGGCCCAAAUACAAAUAGACAGAAGGAAGGUGGAAAAGAGGCCGGGUGAGGAGGCAGAGCAUGCCUUACCUCUUCAGAUCUGUGAACAUUUGGAGGUUUUAUUCCAAGAACAAUCAGAAGUACCUAAUGACUUCUGGCCAGGGAGAUUG